AGUCGAGCGGCAGCGCGGGGCAACCUGGCGGCGAGCGGCGAACGGGUGAGUAAUACAUCGGAACGUGCCCAAGUGUGGGGGAUAGCCCGGCGAAAGCCGGAUUAAUACCGCAUACGAUCUAAGGAUGAAAGCGGGGGAUCGCAAGACCUCGCGCACUUGGAGCGGCUGAUGGCAGAUUAGGUAGUUGGUGGGGUGAAGGCCUACCAAGCCUACGAUCUGUAGCUGGUCUGAGAGGACGACCAGCCACACUGGGACUGAGACACGGCCCAGACUCCUACGGGAGGCAGCAGUGGGGAAUUUUGGACAAUGGGCGAAAGCCUGAUCCAGCCAUUCCGCGUGCAGGAUGAAGGCCCUCGGGUUGUAAACUGCUUUUGUACAGAACGAAAAGGCUCUGGUUAAUACCUGGGGCUCAUGACGGUACUGUAAGAAUAAGCACCGGCUAACUACGUGCCAGCAGCCGCGGUAAUACGUAGGGUGCAAGCGUUAAUCGGAAUUACUGGGCGUAAAGCGUGCGCAGGCGGUUUUGUAAGACAGAGGUGAAAUCCCCGGGCUCAACCUGGGAACUGCCUUUGUGACUGCAAGGCUGGAGUACGGCAGAG
rnacentral:rRNA from 1 species